UGAGCUUCUUGUUCUCUCUCAGAUCUGAAGGGCAUCUAAGGCAGCAUGCGGCCACAGUCCCUGAAGCCAUUCUGCUUUGCAUCACAAACCAAUUGUCAAAGCAGGUCUGUUCACAUGUUCAUUCUGAGGCUCGGGGUGACCUGCAGCUCUAAGGAGGUGACGAUCAUACCACUGAUGGCAUGAGAACUGGAGGGAGAUGUACCACUACAGAGCCCAUGAGUGAGAGAGAGUUUAAAGACAGGGAAGCUGUGUGCCCGAAGCAGUGAGAGUAAGGGCAAGUGAAGGGUCAGGGACAGGAUACUCCUAGACCACACUACAUGGGGCACAGCAGCCUGAGGGAGAGAGGUCUGGAGGAAGUGAUGGAGGAAGUGAUGGGUAAUCCCAAUUGUCAAUGAAGAACUUAAAAUCAUCUGAGAGAUGGGCCCCAGGGCCUGCUGAAGGAGAGUAUCUUAAUCAGGUUCACUGUUGUAGGAAGACCAACCCACAGUGGGUGGCACCACUCCCUGUGCCAAGCUCCUGGUUUGUAUAAAAAGGAGGAAGUGAGAAGGGCAAAGCGUUCAUGAGACCAGUUGCCUCAAGCUCUUUGCAGCUUCUUCCCCAUGAUGUUCUACCUCAAAUUGAGAGCUAAAAUAAGCCUUUUCUUCCUUGAAUGGCUUUGUCACACCAAUAGGAAAAGUUAACCAAUACAGAGUGUGAUUCUCAACCUGUUCUUUCCAGGAUCCAGAGGGAACGUCUCAGUGUGGUAACAAACACUGAAGGGCAAAGCCUCUUAGAUGAGCACAUCUGUCUUUGUGUCUAUGCAGAUCCCAUUGGUAAAAGCAUGUUCCACAGCUGAACCCAAAGACCGGGUGAAAAUGUUCACUGCCUUUCGUGGGAAGAAGGUUAAAGUUACAACGGCUUCCUCUGCUCAUAACACUACCAAAGAAUGAUGGAAGGAAAAUAGUGAAUUUGCUGGCAUCAGUAAGAUGGGUAGCUCUUGCUACCCUACUGAAUUAUCCAUGUAAGCAAUCUUCAUAUCUAUUUAUACAUCACUGGGAGUCCUCUUAUUAUAUGUCCUCGGGGAAAUAUCUUGGGGAGAGCUAGUCUUUGGAACCAUUCUUAUUUGAAAAAUUGCUACAAAUCCUGCACUAGCAGAUUCAAUCAUUUGUUUUUAGAAACAAUGAGGUCUAAUUCUUAAUGGCAUAUGUUCUCUCUGUUGUACUUGCUAACAUCUAUUUUUAGCCGAUCAUGGGCAAUGAAAAUGUUUUUGGUUAAGGAAAUGGUAUCAGUAACAAUGUGAGAUUUAAAGUUCUGCCUAACUAAGUAGUUCUGGAUAUGAUUAAAGAUUUUAAGUUAUGUAAGUAUGAUAUUACUUACUGGUAUGCUGUUUCAGUCAUAUAAAAAUAAACGUGGUUGCCGGGCAUUGAUGGAGCA
rnacentral:lncRNA from 1 species